rnacentral:snoRNA from 1 species
AAACCAUGAAGUGGGCACCUUUGGAUUAGUAUCUUAAACUUUCGCAAGCUUUGUGAAAGAUUUCUCCUUCUAAUUGCUUAAAUACAGUGAUCUCCCUCCUUAGUUG